CCCCUAGUAACUGCGAGUGAGGCGGGGAAAAGCUCAAAUUUAAAACUGGUAGUCUUUGGCUGCCCGAGUUGUAAUCUAGAGAAGCAUUAUCGCGCUGGACCGUGUACAAGUCU
rnacentral:rRNA from 1 species